rnacentral:rRNA from 1 species
ACAUACGACCAUAGGGUGUGGAAAACAGGGCUUCCCGUCCGCUCAGCCGUACUUAAGCCACACGCCGGUGAGUUAGUAGUUGGGUGGGUGACCACCAGCGAAUCCUCACUGUUGUAUGUAUG